GGUGUUGUGGUUUAGUGGUAUAAUUCUUGCUUAGGGAUCAUUUGGUUAUCACAGAUUAAAUAUUCAUGUAAGAGGUCCCCGGUUCAAUCCCGGGCAACGCCC
rnacentral:tRNA from 1 species